GGACGUGAGGGCAAUCUGGUUGUGACAUCUGUCACCCCAUUGAUCACCAGGGUUGAUUCGGCUGAUCUGGCUGGCUAGGUGGGUGUCCCCUUCCUCCCUCACCGCUCCAUGUGCAUCCCUCCCAAGGCUGCACGCUCAGUGGAAGAGGACGGCCUUCCCCAAUAGAAGAAGGACUGCUCUUUGGUCGAGGGUAUAUGAGUAGCUGGGCUCCCCUGCUAGAAUCUCCAAACAAGCUCUCAAGUGGGAAAGUUUACACAGAGAAAUUGACAAACAUUGUAAAUCUGGGCUUAUUUUAAUAUUCCUUGAUGGUCUAAACUUAAGG
rnacentral:snRNA from 1 species